CUUUAACUGUAGAUCAUUUACCAUUUAAACAGAUUUGAGAUAUCUAUUGUCGUUUUAGAGAUAACGCAGUUUGAAAUUUUGCGAGCGGCGGCAUGUAUUUCUGAAUCAACAACAGCUAACCACUUAAAAUGUUUAAGAAAUUGAAGAGAUUAACUUAGUUAUAUGUUUAACCAAAUACCAAAAACAUUCCAAUAAAAAAACACCAAAAAAUCAUUUUGAAAUUUUCAUGUUUU
rnacentral:lncRNA from 1 species